ACGAACGCUGGCGGCAUGCCUAACACAUGCAAGUCGAACGAGACCUUCGGGUCUAGUGGCGCACGGGUGCGUAACGCGUGGGAACCUGCCUUUAGGUUCGGAAUAACUCAGAGAAAUUUGAGCUAAUACCGGAUGAUGUCUUCGGACCAAAGAUUUAUCGCCUUUAGAUGGGCCCGCGUUGGAUUAGCUAGUUGGUGGGGUAAAGGCCUACCAAGGCGACGAUCCAUAGCUGGUCUGAGAGGAUGAUCAGCCACACUGGGACUGAGACACGGCCCAGACUCCUACGGGAGGCAGCAGUGGGGAAUAUUGGACAAUGGGCGAAAGCCUGAUCCAGCAAUGCCGCGUGAGUGAUGAAGGCCUUAGGGUUGUAAAGCUCUUUUACCCGAGAUGAUAAUGACAGUAUCGGGAGAAUAAGCGCCGGCUAACUCCGUG
rnacentral:rRNA from 1 species